rnacentral:lncRNA from 1 species
UGUGGAUUUUUUAAUGCAUUUCUGAUAAGAGGGCAUGGCAUUAUUUUUGUUUUGAUUAAGCACUAAACAAUCCUGUUUGCAGCGAAGCAGAUAGAAAAUGUAUUCCUCGUGUCAGGGGAAGACUAGAAAUGUCUGGAAAGAAGGGGGAAUUGAAAGACAACACUAUCUUAGGGGAGGUCUGGCAUGCCCUUGGGAAAUUUUUGUUUUCUAGAAGCCUGAAAAUAACCUCUGAGGCAUUUGGGCGACCAAUAGUUUCUUUUUCUUUCUUACUUUUUUACUCCACCCCCACUUAAAUCUGCCUCUGGAUAUACAUUUAAACAAAUCUCCUCACAUUUUACAAAAAUCUGAACAAUACAGAUAUUGAUAUUUGUUUAAAAUUGGAGAAAAAGAAUGGAUAGUGACAUGAAAUAACCAAUGAAAAAUUGUAUGCAGAGCUAUGAUUCAAUUUAAAAAAAAACAUAGAUUUUGAAAAAAAAUAUUUUGUUUUACUUAUGGGGUGGGGUGGAACAUUCAGACACAUUAUACAGAAAUUAAUCAAUAAAUCAAUCAAUUGGCUAUUUAUAGGCAUAUAUAUCCAAGGGGGAGGUGCUUGUGCUCUACUGUCUGUGAUUUGAGUAAUUACUAAACACAAUUAGUAUGCAAUCAGGCAGAACUUUAUGAAGAGGAAUUUCGUAACUGUCAUAAAAAAAAAACAUUUAUAAAAAUAGAACAAUAACAGUACCUCAUGACCAUCUUCUUCAUUGAGGUCAACAACCAAUGAGUCUUGGUUAUGGUACACCCAUUUCUAAUCCGACAGAUUUCCUCACACAGUUGUUGACAACUAGGAAUAUAAGUAGUCUUGCAACUACCAGCAAAUUCAAGGUAUAUUCAGUCUGCUCACUUGUGUAGUUAACCAUAUGUUGAAAUAUUUUAAACUGCUGUAUUGUUUUCAACUUGGUUUCGGAAUAUAUUUCUUGAAUAUCUGAAGACAUAAACUUCAAUUUCUAAAGAAUACCUGAUUUAGAAGAUUUCUUAUCUUGUCAUUGAGUAUCAGAUACCACAAUGCCCAGUCUAGUUGGCAUACUGCGUGCUAUUUGUUGGCUUUUGAUCCUAAUAUUCAUCGCUUGGCCUGUGGCAGGAUUUAUCGCAGGAUUGUACAUCUUCCUCCUUCCGUUUGCCGUCUGCAUUGUGUUUUGCAAAACUAUCGUUGAUUUUCUAGAAACCAUUAUAAAAUUACCGUACACUGUGGCGGACAAUAUGAGACAGAUGAAACCAUUGUGUAACUAGGGAACCUGACGACUGCAUAAUUAAUGAGGAUAUAUAACAUCUGUAUUCAAUUAUCAAGUAGUAUUAUUCAAUGAGCUAAAAAAUUUUGUUUAUCUGAAUUUAUUAGAAAUUAUGUUCUUACAAAUCUUGUAAUUUUUGUAAUUAUUUUUUAUCAAACUACUGUUAAUGUUAUUAGAAUUAGAUGCAUUGAUCAAUUAUCAGUGUUAUCAUUAUCUCAUGGUCUCUACGAUCAUUACCUAUUAUCAUCAUCCCAACCAUAAUAUUAUCUUUAUAAUCUUAUUCUUAUGUAUUUUAAAAAUUAUCAAUUAUUAAUUAAUUAGUAACUUUUUGUUUGAUACAAUCUUACAAAUUUUGUGUGUAAUUAUUUUAGAUCAUUACUGUUAAUGUUAAUUAGUUGCAUUAACUAAAUUAUUAAAUCAUUAUCACUUACCAUCAUUAUCAUCUUCAUCAUCAUUACUACCAUCUCUUGGUCGUUAUUAAUAUCUCUAUGAUCAUUAUUAUCAUCUUAACCAUCAUAUCUUCAUCAUCACCAUUUCUUAUCAAAAAAAUGGGAUAAUAUACGGUGCUCCUCUGUUUGCACAAAAGUAUUUAAUGAUAUUUCUUUGUAAUAAGUUUUGUCAAUAAAUAAUGUCUUUAAAAAAAUUGAAAA